AAAGUCGUAACAAGGUUUCCGUAGGUGAACCUGCGGAAGGAUCAUUAGUAAUUGUGGGGUUGCUGCUCUUGUCGCAAGGCGAGGGCGGCCGGCUCUUAUUGAUCUGUGAACUGGGUUUUGGUGGUUGGCUUGCCUCUUUCGGGGGGCGGGUCGUCGCCGCCGAGCCUUCUUGUUUUCUGUUUAUUCUUACAAUUCUUAGUUGAAAAACUAGAAAUCCAAGACAACUUUCAGCAAUGGAUCUCUUGGCUCUU
rnacentral:misc_RNA from 1 species